rnacentral:rRNA from 1 species
AGUCAAUAGAUACCCCGGUAGUCCACGCCGUAAACGAUGUCGACUUGGAGGUUGUGCCCUUGAGGCGUGGCUUCCGGAGCUAAACGCGUUAAGUCGACCGCCUGGGGAGUACGGCCGCAAGGUUAAAACCCAAAUGAAUUGACGGGGGCCCGCACAAGCGGUGGAGCAUGUGGUUUAAUUCGAUGCAACGCGAAGAACCUUACCUACUCUUGACAUCCAGAGAACUUAGCAGAGAUGCUUUGGUGCCUUCGGGAACUCUGAGACAGGUGCUGCAUGGCUGUCGUCAGCUCGUGUUGUGAAAUGUUGGGUUAAGUCCCGCAACGAGCGCAACCCUUAUCCUUUGUUGCCAGCGGUUAGGCCGGGAACUCAAAGGAGACUGCCAGUGAUAAACCUGGAGGAAGGUGGGGAUGACGUCAAGUCAUCAUGGCCCUUACGAGUAGGGCUACACACGUGCUACAAUGGCGCAUACAAAGAGAAGCGACCUCGCGAGAGCAAGCGGACCUCAUAAAGUGCGUCGUAGUCCGG